GGAAAUUACCCAGUACUUUAAGACUAAGGACAGGCAAACAGUGCACACUUCAUAAUCCAGCCCAGUCUCUUUUGUUAGUAUAUACUUAGGUGGAAAGUACUGCCUAGUUUCCCUGUAAGUUUUGGUGAAAGUACGCUGUAGAUGUGAGAACAGCACCUACCAUGUGGUUUCUGUGUAAUUAAAUAAUAAAAACAUUUUAUAACUU